CAGCCCGGCAGCGGAGCCCUCGGGAAGCGACACCCCUCGACGUGGGAGAGCCGUGUGGGUGCCGAGCGAGGAGCCCCGAGCAGAGGGAGCGGCGCUGACCGACCCACUCAGGAGUUACUGCGCAUCCCUUGCUGUGGAGAGCGUGCCCAUGAGACGUGGGGACAGAGGAUCGACCUGGAUUGCACGGCCAUUCCCACCAUCCCUUGUGCAGCACUGCUGCUGUGGGAGCCAGCAGAAGUGUAAGGGCUCUGCAGACCAACCUGCUGCAUUAUUCCUCAUCAGUGAAUAAACAGGAAUGGAAGCAGUGAUAGCAGACCAUUGCAACUCCCACUCAUCUGAUGUUACAGACUGGAAAAGUGAGAAGAUGUCUAGGAGGAAGAGCCAUUUUCUUGUAAUCAAUUAUUAACUGGUCUUAAGAAUUAAUACCUGAAAAUACUCACUGAGAAUCAUGUCGGAGGCCGGGGUCAGCCGUUGUACUGCCUGCACCAGACAUCUGACAGACUCCAAGGCUUGAAGGCAGACUCACAGCAGUUCAUUGAGGGAUAAAUGGUUUGAGCUGUGACCCUUCCACCUGUGCCCAAGCCCUGAGUAUUCCCCUGACCACUCAAAAGACACGUGAAACAGGUAGUCCCCAGGUGCUCAUACAGCUUGAACUGUGAGUUAUGAACAACAAAGUUUUGCCACUUUCAAAACUGUUCAGAGAAAUACUGAUAAACUUUCUUUACUUAUGACUGUUUGUUAGAGGUUGAUUUACCAGAGAACUUGCAAGUCUUAAAUAAGAAUUUCGAGGAUUUUAAAGCUAAACAAUGAAGGUUCAAAUAAUUUAUAAAACAAAAUGCAUUUAUUGGUUUAGUGACCUUGAUAUCACACAGUGUUAAAAACCAUUUUUUAGUUUUAAAAACAGGACAGAUAUUUUUGUAGAAUUCUAAUUUCUGGGACCAUCCAUGAUUCUGUAUGACCUGGAAGACCUGAAAGAUUCUGGAUGAAUUUAUUGAGAAGUUAAAAAAAAAAAAAUCAUGGUGACAUCUUCUUGACUGUCCCAGUGUGAAUUGGUCCUGGACCUUUCUGUGAUGUUCUGUGAUGGAGGAUAAUAUUUUUCCAUUAUAUGUUCAGCACUGGUGUUCAUUUGUGCAGCCUCUGUGCCUAUAAGUAAAUUAGCAAGCUUUUUCUGUGAUACAUAGGGAUGCAAACGUGGGGAGGAGAAGGUGGUGGAGGUGUGGAAGGAAUCUUUGCAGACCAAGAAAUUUAUAGAGAAGGUAAGGACAUUUCUCCCAUCAUGGGUCCCAUGGAAAUUUUAUGCAAAUUGGUACCUCCUCAUGGAGGAGCAGAAUGAAGCCCUAACAGAAGCUGCAGCAGGGCUGCCUCUCUGACUGUGUUCCUGGCAGAAAUUGCUGCCUCAUGACACCUAAAAAUCUCCUAAUAUUGGAAGAGAGCUGCAAAUCAAGGUAGUAAUUUCAGGCAAGUAGAAGCUCAUACAGAAGCUUUUUCUGUCGCACUGUCUCUGAGAGGAGCUUUCUUUAAUCGUAUUAUGGUAAACCCAGCAUCAGGUCUUUCCCUUCUGUUGUUGUGAUGAGAGAAGGGAGCUGGCACGAAGUCUGUAUCUAUAUUAAUGAAUUAACCAGCAGCAGAAGUGUGCUGAGGCCGCUGAUGUGUGCCCUGGUCAUCAGCAUGCCUUUGGUCUGGGCCAACCAGCACUUUCUGACACAUCUCCUCAGCCUGGAUUUGGCAUUAGCCCAGGAGCAGUCCUAAGAGAAAAUAUGAAGAUAUUUCUGCAAUUUUGUGUUCUUUAAAACACAACCCAAAAAUACAGAAAUCUUUUCUCUGCCUCUGGUUCUCUGCCUGUCUUUAUGUUAUUUUUGACUACUGUCAAAAGUUAUAUUAAAUAGCUAUUAUCCCCAUAAGCAUUCUGCAGAUGCCAAAUAGAAAUGAGCUGUGUAAAUGUCAGCCAUUAAAGUAUAGUUCUGUCAGAUUCUUUUUUCUGGACCUUCUGCAAGUCUAAUGGAUAACUAGACACAGAGUUAUCCAUAAGUGCCAUCUUACCAAUGCCUCUUAACAGCAUCUUACUUUGGAAGUUAUUUUUUACUGCAUUUUCAUAAUUUCUUAAAAACUCCAUUGACUUCUAUUUUCUUCUCUAUUCCCUUUCUCCCCUUGAAAUGAAGUGUUCUAGCUUUAUUUAAGGCUUCAGACCAGAGGUCAAGCUGCUUGCAGAGGUCUCAGACACACUCGGAUUAGAUUUUGCAGCAGCUGUGGGGAAGAAAGUGCCACAGUUGGCAGCAAGCUGUGUGGGUGGGCUUGCAGCAGGAGGAACUUGGCACAGAGCAGCUGGGGGGAUGGCAUCUCCUCAGCCCCGUAAGCUGAAGUACAUCUGAGUGCUCACUUAUUGACCUGUUGCAUUUCACUUCUUGGAUUACUUUAGGAGGUCUGGAGAUACCUGUGGAACAGGGAAAGGACUUAAAAAAUAAUCAACUUUUUUCUCUCAAACAGUAGCCUUGUGGCUGGCAAGGUGUUAUUAAACACAAACUCUAAAAAUAAUCAAAUUAGUGAAAUAUACAUUGCCAGAAAUUUAUAUAUUGUGUCCUCAAGCCACCAAAAUAUUAAGCACAUAAGUUACAAAAUUAUGUUGUCAAAGUCCACCAAAUUCACACACACAAAAAAGAAAAGCUCUCUGAUUUUGAACAGCGCUAAACUUUACAUUCUGUCUUAUUCAGCAAGUAGAUUUAAUUUUGAAGGUAAAAUGGGAGAGGCUGACCAAAAUAAUAUUCAGGUUAAUUCUCCUUCAGGGAUGCUAUGGCACUGGUUGAAAUUGGUGAGCUGAAGACAAAAUGAGCCAGUUAUUUCUGAGUGUGUGGCCCAUCUCCAGCAGCACCAGGCAGGGUGGGUCCCACUGCCACAGCUGGGAGGCUUCACUGCCUUGCCCAAGCAAUGCUGACAACAGUUUCUCACAUGAGCAGGUUAGUCCAUAGGUGUUUAGCACAAGAACAGAGAUGCCCUUGUCACAGAGAUGGAGUUCCUUGCCCCACAAUCACAGUAGUGUUGCUGUUCUCAUGUACUGCUAUGGGGGUAUUUAUCAGCCAAGUCAAAAGAUAGUACCUGAAGAGGUACAGUAACACACUACACUCAUUGCUAGAGGUGAGAAUGACAAUCACUAGCACAUUUUUAUACCUUUAAUUAGAAAUCUCAGAAUUAGCCCACUCUUUUUAAUGCCUUUUAAUACAUACUGAAUGAAAUCAAGCAAACAAUGAAAAGGUGAGUACACUCUGGUACAAUGCUGGUUGUGUGAUGCUCAUUCCUUAGGUUAGAAACCCACCUGGUAGCAGUCAUCAACCUCCUCUCUUCCAGGUCACAGACUCAAGAGAAAUUCAGCAUAUGAAUAGCCCUGUCGGCUAACAUCAUGACCUCAAAGUUGUGUCAUUCAGUGCAGAUGCAGUAGAAGGCACUAAGACUCAUAAACAAAUCCACAGGUGCUUACAGCCCUGCAACGUUAUGUGACUCUAAGACUGGGAUGGCAGCACCUGUGGUACUGAGGAGGGUAUGCCAUCCCUGAAGUGUGACAGCGAGGUACUUGAGUGUCUCAGUGCAACAUUGAACAAGGAAUUUCUGACAAAGUGAUGCUCGGAGCUUAAAAACAUUUCCUAAUUACUUAAAAUUUAUCUUUGAUAUGCACAAAUAGCAUAGCUUCCUUUGAAGGUGUAUCUGAAGCACACCUCAAUGCCUGCGUGAACCUUGUCCUACAUGUGUACAUCUGUUCUUUAGGAGUGUGUGUUGAUUUAAAUCUUGGCCUGGAUUUUCAGGCUCCAGGACCAAGCUUCUCCCUUUAUCCAGGAUGUAGUACAACAGUUUCAGGUUACACAAAUUCAUAUCUGCUUAAAAGCAUACUAAAAUGAAAGUCAUCACAUAAAUCAAGGUUAAACUAAGACAGAAAUCUGUCUGGCAGGUGAAAGACUGCUUCUUUACUUACUAAGCCUUAUAAUCUUUUAACUUGCAGUUCACUGCCAAAGAAGAUUAUGAAAGAACACCAGCCAUAUCCAAGUGUUACAAGUCUAUAUUUGUCUUCUAUAAUGAAGUUGAGAACAAUUGCCAAGUGUGAAAGAUUACCAAGUAGGUUGAUAGACAAGGAAUAGAGCUGCAUUUUAGAAGAUGUGUGAAUCUGUGCAUUUAUCAGUAUCAACACAAACCUUUUCCUAGCUGUUUCCUAUCAUGCUAUGUCUGAGCUAUCUGAACUGAAUUAAAGUCAGAGAGUGCUGCCCAAAUGGUUUAACUGCAGAUUUGGAUUUUCAGAGUUUGAUGAUUGGACACUUUGAAUAACCUAUUUUUAUUCAUUUAUUAACAAUUACAUUGGUUGUUGUAGACACAUGGCCCUCUGUGGAUUCUUCAGUAGUUCAUUGACUGGGCUCAGGAGGCUGCUGGGUGCCCUUUUGCCUGUGUUCAGUGAUCAAAACUUGUGAGAGAAGAGCUGGAAAAGGGUGGAAGUCUAGCCCACAGUCUACAUGCAACCUACUACACUUUUGGUAGAAACAAAAUGACGGUAAAAGUCCUUGAAAACGCCCAAAGACCAUUCCUGUGACUGGAUCACUGGCGUGGGCUCAGUAUUUUAGAGUGGACUGUGGCAGGCUGAGGUAAUAGAGAAGGGUAAAUUGCUGGCAGAGUGAGCUGACACAGCAUUAUCUCUAAAACAGCCAGUCAGCCCAGACUGAUGCAUUUUCUGAGAAAACUCACAGUGUUUUUUGUUAUUCUUUUUAAGUGUGUAAACAUGGUGGACCUCCUGCUACUAUUUGUGGCCAUGAGGAGGAAUCUUCUGCAAGGUGCAAAGGAUGCAAUUGCAUUUGCCUACAUGUACACAAGUAUUCUGUGGGCUAGAAAGGAAACUUAGGGAUACGUUGGGAAGGGAUUAUAGCAAAUAUUACUGGUAGCUGGGUAAUAGCUGAUGUUAGCCCUUGAAAAAGAUAUUUUCCUCCUUUGCUGUAUUUUCACUGUAAAUGCACAAGUAAAAAAAAUAAACCUAAAAUAAUUACACAAAUUUAAAAAAAUGGAAAAUUGCUUAGGAUUAUUGUUACACUUCAAAACUUGGUCCACCUAUUCAUGUGGGACUGAAGAACUGCAAUUAUCUCACAAGAAAUCCAUCCUGUUAAAUCAAAUCCAAACACCCUAAAUAUUCAGAUAUCAAUUUGCUAUCAGGUUUCACAAGGAAUUUCUAAUCCUGUGUAAAAUGCUCUAAAAUAUUGAUAAAUUUAAAGCACACAAGAGCAAACUGCAAACUGUACCAUGGUAAUAAGGGAAAGGUGGGUAACUUGGAAAAACAUGUCACAUCAAUCCUUGUUCCCUAUGAUUGCUAUAGAAUCAAAUACAUCAGAAGUUUAUAACAAUGCGCCUUCCCACCUUGAUGCCUCUAAAGUAUUGGUUUUAACAGCAGGAAGCCCUGGCAGAACAAAUAUCUGCUUCAUGCACAAAAAAAAAUAAAAAAAAAAAUAAAAAAA